rnacentral:lncRNA from 1 species
CCAAGAACAUGAUGUGUGCAGAGAGCAACCGCAGGGACACUUGCAGGGUGAGGGGCACAGCCUGGGUCACGUGGUGUGGGUGGGUGGAGUUGAGGGACUGUGGAGGCUACUGAGGGGCGUGGGUUGUGGGAAGGGCGGAGUUCGGGAAUCUCAGGAACUUUUUUGCUGGCUAUUGGGUGGGCAUGUCACUUGUGGCCCCGCCCCACAGGGCGACUCCGGCGGUCCUCUGGUGUGCGGGGAUGCGGUCGAAGCUGUGGUUACGUGGGGAUCUCGAGUCUGUGGCAACCGGAGAAAGCCAGGUGUCUUUACCCGCGUGGCAACCUACGUGCCGUGGAUUGAAAACGUUCUGAGUGGUAACGUGAGUGUUAACGUGACGGCCUGAGGGGACACCGGAGACCGUGACUCACAAUAAAUGCAUGCAUCUAA